UAUUGGGACAACCUGAUAAUAAGGAAUUACAGUAGUCAAGCCUAGAAGUAACAAAUGCAUGGACUAGUUUUUCUGCAUCACUCUGAGACAGGAUGUUCCUGAUUUUCACAAUAUUUCUCAGGUGGAAAAAGGAAGUCCUACAGAUUUUUAUGUGUUUUUGAUCUGAACCUUGGUAGCACAGAGCAGAAGGUUGGUAGAGGGUUGGCAGAGGGUUGGCAGAGGGUUGGCAGAAGGUUGGUAGAGGGUUGGCAGAGGGUUGGCAGAGGGUAGGUAGAAGGUUGGCAGAUGGUUGGCAGAAGGUUGGUAGAAGCUUGGUAGAGGGUUGGUAGAGGGUUGGCAGAGGGUUGGUAGAAGCUUGGUAGAGGGUUGGCAGAGGGUUGGCAGAGGGUUGGCAGAGGGUUGGUAGAAGGUUGGUAGAGGGUUGGUAGAAGGUUGGUAGAGGGUUGGCAGAGGGUUGGCAGAAGAUUGGCAGAGGGUUGGCAGAGGGUUGGCAGAGGGUUGACAGAAGGUUGGUAGAGGGUUGGUAGAAGGUUGGGGUUGAAAACAGCAACCCUGGUGAUUCCAGCCAGGUGAUGGUGGAGCUCCUCAAGACACCAGGAUGGAAGCUGAUGGUGGAUCUAUAUACCAUUAUUGCAUUACAUUCACUCUGUUUCUUUCUGUGUCCUUUCUCCGAGUGUCCCUGGUCCCAGAGCUGGAUGCUGGA
ensembl:lncRNA